rnacentral:lncRNA from 1 species
CUGCGCCGCUCUCCCCUUGCACAAAGGAGGAGCAGCUCAGCAAGCUUGGCCUGGGCCAUGGAAGGGAGCAUACAAACAUCUGGACCAACCCCAACGGAGCGGGUUCUGCAGCUGUCCCAAUGCUUUGAUCCCUUGCUGCUGGGAUGGGGCGUUUGCAGAAUGACAAUGUCCAGUCAGAUGUUGGGGAUGAGUCUGCGCACCGGGGUAUGUCUGGCAGGACUGAGGCUUGGGGACCAGGCCAGGUCAAAUCCAGUGCACUUUGCUCUCAUUCUUAGUGCUUGCUUUUGCUCAGGAGGGUGGGUGGUGAGCCUUAUGAACCAGUGCCUGCAGAUGGGGUUUGUGGAGAAAGAGGUCCUGCAGGCCUUGUGUGAUACCCAUGGAGCUAUAGUGAGGCUGCAUCAGUGUAAAACACCAGAAAUCCCCAGAGGUGUGAAGGUGAGCUGUGGGCACCAGUAACACAAGAGGGAAUGUGCAUGCUUGGGUUUGGAUGCUUCUGUGUGUUUUAAGUGACUGUGAUACCACUGCUCAGUCAGUUUGAGUGUGUGGAACAAGUGUGACAUCCUCUUUGACUGAGUCCUGUGAAAGGAGUCCUAUGAAUUUGAGGUCUGACUUCAAGCCUGUGGGCAUCAUCCAGGAGUUGGGGAAGAGUACGAGGCAAGGAAAGUUGGGUAAGAGGAUGAGGCUUCGGACCAGGAACCUCUUCCACCGGUAUUAACUCUUGUUGUUCUCUUUUUGGAUUAGGAAUCCAUGUGGGUCUUUUUAUGAAGAAUAGCCUCGUUGUGCAGCUUAUGAAUUAAUUCAUUCACGCCUUUUAGCUGGUUUUCUUUCCUACAUGAAGCUGCAAUUGAAAUGGACACUUUGUGAUCUGAUCCCCUCUGGCAUGCUCAGAUCAGCCAAGUUGGCAAGGUCUGGCACAGGCUCAUAGGCGAGGCCACAGCAGCUCUUCCGUUGUGACACAGAGCAGGGACAUAGAAGUUGAAGAAGGCCCCACAG